rnacentral:rRNA from 1 species
GACGAACGCUGGCGGCGUGCUUAACGCAUGCAAGUCGAACGGAAAGGCCCUGCUUUUGUGGGGUGCUCGAGUGGCGAACGGGUGAGUAACACGUGAGUAACCUGCCCUUGACUUUGGGAUAACUUCAGGAAACUGGGGCUAAUACCGGAUAGGAGCUCCUGCUGCAUGGUGGGGGUUGGAAAGUUUCGGCGGUUGGGGAUGGACUCGCGGCUUAUCAGCUUGUUGGUGGGGUAGUGACUUACCAAGGCUUUGACGGGUAGCCGGCCUGAGAGGGUGACCGGCCACAUUGGGACUGAGAUACGGCCCAGACUCCUACGGGAGGCAGCAGUGGGGAAUAUUGCACAAUGGGCGGAAGCCUGAUGCAGCAACGCCGCGUGCGGGAUGACGGCCUUCGGGUUGUAAACCGCUUUCGCCUGUGACGAAGCGUGAGUGACGGUAAUGGGUAAAGAAGCACCGGCUAACUACGUG